rnacentral:rRNA from 1 species
GUGCAAGCGUUAUCCGGAUUUACUGGGUGUAAAGGGAGCGCAGGCGGUGCGGCAAGUCUGAUGUGAAAGCCCGGGGCUCAACCCCGGGACUGCAUUGGAAACUACCGAACUAGAGUGUCGGAGAGGUAAGUGGAAUUCCUAGUGUAGCGGUGAAAUGCGUAGAUAUUAGGAGGAACACCAGUGGCGAAGGCGGCUUACUGGACGAUAACUGACGCUGAGGUUCGAAAGCGUGGGUAGCAAACAG